rnacentral:lncRNA from 1 species
UCAGUGGUAGAGUGCUUACCUAGUCUGUGUGCAGCACUGGGUUCAAUUCUCAGCACCACAUAUAAAUAAAUAAAAGAAACAUCCAUUGACAACUUAAAAAAUAUUUUUUAAAAAAGAUAUAUACAUCUCUAAAAGUCUGGCCCUUCACCAAUGGCUUUACCUCUCCCACUAGUCUGUAAGCUCCAUGAUGCAUGUUCAUAGAAUCACUCAUGGCGUGCAUUUGGCAUUAGAUGGGUGGCCCCUUCGUUCUUUUUUUUUUAAUUAACAACCAACAAUCAUAUAUAUUGAGUACAAUGUACGUUUUGAUAUAUGUUUAUUUUGUUGAAUGAUUAAAUUGCACUCAUUAGCCAAUCCAUCACUUUACACUGAUUAUUUUUAUGGCAAAAAAAAAAAGAACAAAACAUUUAAAAAUCUACUUUUUUCUCAACUCUGAACUAUACAAUGCAUUGUUAUUUGUGUUACCAUCCUGUGCAAUUGAACACUGAAGCUGUUCCUCCUCACUGAAAUUGUAUACCCUUCCAUCACCGUUUCCCUGUUCUCCUUCCACUCCCUGCCCUCAGCUUCCGGUAACCACCAUCCACUCUCUCCUUCUGAGUUCCACACUUUUAGAUUCAACUGUGAGAGAGAUGCUGUGGCAUUAGUCCUCUUGUGCCUGGUCUAUUCCACUUAACAUAACACCCUUCAGGUUCAGCCUCCUUGUCCUCAAUGACAGGAUUUCCAUUUUAGGGGCUACCUAAUAAUCUGUUGUGUAAUACUACAUUUUCUUUACCCAUCUGUUGAUGCACCAGGUUUGCUUCCAUAUCUCAGAUCUUGGGAAUAAUGCUGCAGGGGACAAGGGAGUGCAGAUAUCUCCUCAACAACUGCUUUCAGUUCCUUUGGCUAUUAACCCAGAAGCAGAACUCCUGGAUCCUACAGUAAUUCUAUUUUUAGUUUCUGUGGAACUUCCUUGGGUUUUGCAUAAUGGCUAUACUGAUUUACCUUCCCCCAACAAUGACCAAGGCUCCCUUUCCUCCACAUCCUCACCAGCACUUGUUACCUUUCAUCUUUUUAAAGUAGUCGUGCAAACUGUAAGAAAAGGACCCCUUUGCUCUUACCAGAUUCUUACAAUGUGUCCUGCUGCAGUCCCUGGCUGGCUAGGUGCCUGGCUCCGGGCAUGAAGAUGCCCUUUGAGCAGCUCACCACCAAGCCCUGGACUCCAGUGCGAAGAGCUGAGUUUCAGACCCAGCACUGCUACUAGCUGAUAACUGAUGUAACCUAAUUUUGGCUUCAAUUUCUUCUCACUAAGGGAGAUGUGAUCACCAAAGAUCGAGUGCGGUUGACAUGUAAAGAGCUAUCAGAAUGUAGGCCUUUCAAGUAGCAAAGGUGGAAUUUCACCAGAAAUUACUUUGACUGUCACAACUGGAUAUUAAAAUGAAGACUGAUGCACGCCCGUGACAGGACCAGAACCAGAUUCUUUUCUUUAUGCAGUUCCACUCUCUCCCACUAUUUUGGUAACUCAUUUUGGGUCAAGCAAGACCCCUGCCUUCAGCUUCUCCAUUCCAGAAGAAUGCAGGCCUGCACUGUGAUGCUUUCAGAAGUGUUUGCCGAGCAGUGGCAGCCGAACUGAAGCAUCCUUUCUAUUUUGCUCUUGCGUUGCAUAUGAGAUAACCGCUCUCACCUGUUAACCCCCUAGCAGAUAAUCCUCCUGCGAACAAUAGCUUGCAGACCCAGCGUGGCACUGGGGUGUCAGCAUAAAGGAGUCUGUGAGCAGGGCAUGGGGUCAGCCUGCUGUUGUGGGCAGGCUGCUAUUGUUGGCAGGUCCCUUUUGUGAAGGAUGUAGUCUUGUUCUACCGCCUGUACCAGGCUGCACACCAUCUAUUUCCUUGCUAUCCUUGAACUCACAGGGCCUCUUUUCCCCCAGCCAUAAAUGGAUUGGUGUGCGAGAAGCUUUUCCUGCUGGGGACUCACUUCUGCACUGACUCUUUGUUAAUCUUCUGCAAAAUAAGGCAGUUUUCUGUUGAAGAGAAAGCAGUCAUUAAU